CGGCGAGUGAAGCGGCAAGAGCUCAAAUUUGAAAGCUGGCUCCUUCGGGGUCCGCAUUGUAAUUUGCAGAGGAUGUUUCGGGAGUGGCCCCCAUCUAAGUGUCCUGGAACGGACCGUCAUAGAGGGUGAGAAUCCCGUAUGGGAUGGGGUGCCCACGCCCGUGUGAAACUCCUUCGACGAGUCGAGUUGUUUGGGAAUGCAGCUCUAAAUGGGUGGUAAAUUUCAUCUAAAGCUAAAUAUUGGCCGGAGACCGAUAGCGCACAAGUAGAGUGAUCGAAAGAUGAAAAGCACUUUGAAAAGAGAGUUAAAAAGCACGUGAAAUUGUUGAAAGGGAAGCGUUUGCGAUCAGACUCGCCGACGGGGUUCAGCCUGCCUUCGGGCAGGUGUACUUCCCCGCCGGCGGGCCAGCGUCGGUUUGGGUGGCCGGUCAAAGGCCCUAGGAAUGUAACGCCUCUCGGGGCGUCUUAUAGCCUAGGGUGUCAUGCGGCCUGCCCGGACCGAGGAACGCGCUUCGGCUCGGACGCUGGCAUAAUGGUCGUAAACGACCCGUCUUGAAACACGGACCAAGGAGUCUAACAUCUAUG
rnacentral:rRNA from 1 species